rnacentral:tRNA from 1 species
AGUAAAGUCAGCUAAUAAAGCUAUCGGGCCCAUACCCCGACAAUGUUGGUUUAAAUCCUCCCUGUACUA